rnacentral:rRNA from 1 species
UUAAGCCAUGCAUGUCUAAGUAUAAGCAAUUAUACAGCGAAACUGCGAAUGGCUCAUUAUAUAAGUUAUCGUUUAUUUGAUAGUACCUUACUACUUGGAUAACCGUGGUAAUUCUAGAGCUAAUACAUGCUGAAAAUCCCGACUUCGGAAGGGAUGUAUUUAUUAGAUUAAAAACCAAUGCCCUCUGGGCUCCUUGGUGAUUCAUAAUAACUUUUCGAAUCGCACGGCCUUGCGCCGGCGAUGGUUCAUUCAAAUUUCUUCCCUAUCAACUUUCGAUGUUUGGGUAUUGGCCAAACAUGGUCGCAACGGGUAACGGAGGGUUAGGGCUCGACCCCGGAGAAGGAGCCUGAGAAACGGCUACUACAUCCAAGGAAGGCAGCAGGCGCGCAAAUUACCCAAUCCCGAUUCGGGGAGGUAGUGACAAUAAAUACUGAUACAGGGCUCUUUUGGGUCUUGUAAUUGGAAUGAGUACAAUUUAAAUCUCUUAACGAGGAACAAUUGGAGGGCAAGUCUGGUGCCAGCAGCCGCGGUAAUUCCAGCUCCAAUAGCGUAUAUUAAAGUUGUUGUGGUUAAAAAGCUCGUAGUUGAACCUUGGGCCUGGCUGGCCGGUCCGCCUCACCGCGUGUACUGGUCCGGCCGGGCCUUUCCCUCUGUGGAACCUCAUGCCCUUCACUGGGUGUGGCGGGGAAACAGGACUUUUACUUUGAAAAAAUUAGAGUGCUCCAGGCAGGCCUAUGCUCGAAUACAUUAGCAUGGAAUAAUAAAAUAGGACGUGUGGUUCUAUUUUGUUGGUUUCUAGGACCGCCGUAAUGAUUAAUAGGGACAGUCGGGGGCAUCAGUAUUCAAUUGUCAGAGGUGAAAUUCUUAGAUUUAUUGAAGACUAACUACUGCGAAAGCAUUUGCCAAGGAUGUUUUCAUUAAUCAGGAACGAAAGUUAGGGGAUCGAAGACGAUCAGAUACCGUCGUAGUCUUAACCAUAAACUAUGCC